rnacentral:rRNA from 1 species
CCUACGGGGGGCAGCAGUAGGGAAUCUUUCACAAUGGGCGAAAGCCUGAUGGAGCAACGCCGCGUGCAGGAUGAAGGCCUUCGGGUUGUAAACUGCUUUUAUAAGCGAGAAAUAUGAUGGUAACUUAUGAAUAAGGAUCGGCUAACUACGUGCCAGCAGCGGCGGUCAUACGUAGGAUACGAGCAUUAUCCGGAGUGACUGGGUGUAAAGAGUGGCGUAGGGGGCAUAAUAAGUAGCUAGUGAAAUCUGGUGGCUCAACCAUUCAGACUAUUAGCUAAACUGGUAAGCUCGAGACCGUUAGGGGUAACUGGAAUUUCUAGUGUAGGAGUGAAAUCCGUAGAUAUUAGAAGGAACACCAAUAGCGUAGGCAGGUUGCUGGGACGGUUCUGACACUAAGGCACGAAAGCGUAGGGAGCAAACGGGAUUAGAUACCCUUGUAGUC